UACAGAGGUCUCAAGCGUUGUCCGGAUUUAUUGGGCGUAAAGAGCGUGUAGGCGGCCAGGUAGGUCAGCUGUGAAAACUCGAGGCUCAACCUCGAGACGUCGGUUGAAACCACCUGGCUAGAGUCCGGAAGAGGAGAGUGGAAUUCCUGGUGUAGCGGUGAAAUGCGCAGAUAUCAGGAAGAACACCCGUGGCGAAGGCGGCUCUCUGGGACGGUACUGACGCUGAGACGCGAAAGCGUGGGGAGCGAACAGG
rnacentral:rRNA from 1 species